rnacentral:rRNA from 1 species
UACGGAGGGUGCGAGCGUUGUCCGGAAUCAUUGGGCGUAAAGGGCGCGUAGGUGGCUCGGUCAGCGUGCGGUGAAAGCUCGGGGCUCAACCCCGAGUCGGCCGUGCGAACUGCUGGGCUUGAGCACUGUAGAGGCAGGCGGAAUUCCGGGUGUAGCGGUGGAAUGCGUAGAGAUCGGGAAGAACGCCAAGGGCGAAGGCACUCUGCUAGGCCUGAUUUCGCGACUGACACUCAGGGACGAGAGCCAGGGGAGCGAAUGGG